CUGCGGCAGCGACACUGUGUGUUGUUGGGUAGGGGAGCGUUCUGUAAGCCUGUGAAGGUGUGUCGUGAGGCAUGCUGGAGGUAUCAGAAGUGCGAAUGCUGACAUAAGUAACGAUAAAGCGGGUGAAAAGCCCGCUCGCCGGAAGACCAAGGGUUCCUGUCCAACGUUAAUCGGGGCAGGGUGAGUCGACCCCUAAGGCGAGGCCGAAAGGCGUAGUCGAUGGGAAACGGGUUAAUAUUCCCGUACUUGGUGUUACUGCGAAGGGGGGACGGAGAAGGCUAUGUUGGCCGGGCGACGGUUGUCCCGGUUUAAGCGUGUAGGUGUGUGUUCCAGGUAAAUCCGGUUCACUUUAACACUGAGGCGUGACGACGAGGCACUACGGUGCUGAAGCAACAAAUGCCCUGCUUCCAGGAAAAGCCUCUAAGCAUCAGGUAACAUCAAAUCGUACCCCAAACCGACACAGGUGGUCAGGUAGAGAAUACCAAGGCGCUUGAGAGAACUCGGGUGAAGGAACUAGGCAAAAUGGUGCCGUAACUUCGGGAGAAGGCACGCUGACACGUAGGUGAAGUGAUUUACUCAUGGAGCUGAAGUCAGUCGAAGAUACCAGCUGGCUGCAACUGUUUAUUAAAAACACAGCACUGUGCAAACACGAAAGUGGACGUAUACGGUGUGACGCCUGCCCGGUGCCGGAAGGUUAAUUGAUGGGGUCAGCGCAAGCGAAGCUCCUGAUCGAAGCCCCGGUAAACGGCGGCCGUAACUAUAACGGUCCUAAGGUAGCGAAAUUCCUUGUCGGGUAAGUUCCGACCUGCACGAAUGGCGUAAUGAUGGCCAGGCUGUCUCCACCCGAGACUCAGUGAAAUUGAACUCGCUGUGAAGAUGCAGUGUACCCGCGGCAAGACGGAAAGACCCCGUGAACCUUUA
rnacentral:rRNA from 1 species